GGUUAAGUUAACAAGGGCGCACGGUGGAUGCCUUGGCACUAGGAGCCGAUGAAGGACGGUACUAACACCGAUAUGCUUCGGGGAGCUGUACGUAAGCUUUGAUCCGGAGAUUUCCGAAUGGGGGAACCCAGCCAGCUUAGUCGCUGGUUACUAAGUUGUGAAUACAUAGCAGCUUAGAGGUAAACGUGGGGAACUGAAACAUCUCAGUACCCGCAGGAACAGAAAGAAAAAUCGAUUCCCUAAGUAGCGGCGAGCGAACGGGGAACAGCCCAAACCAUUGAGCUUGCUCAGUGGGGUUGUAGGACUGAACAUUAGAGUUACCAAAGUUAGUGGUAGUCGAAGCAGUUGGAACGCUGCGUCAAAGAGGGUGAAAAUCCCGUAGACCAAACUGCUAACCCUCUGUUCAGGAUCCUGAGUACGGCGGAACACGUGAAAUUCCG
rnacentral:rRNA from 1 species